rnacentral:piRNA from 1 species
AACGGACUUUCGCAACCUUUGGGAAA